GUUUCUCGUAGACUUUUGUCCUCCGCUUCUUCGAUGUUAAUUUUCAAUAAUAAUUUUGUCUCUCUUGUGUAUCUCAGUUAUAGCUCACAUUGUGCUCUCAUAUAUGUCAGAUUUUUUCUGAAGUCCCUUCUUAAAAGAGCAUCACUAAUUAGCAACAAAACUGAUGGAUCUCUCCAACCAGGACUGGCUGAGCAGUGAAGUCAAGCAGCCUGUUGGAGACAGCAGCAUCCACUGAUGGAGAAGGUCACAUGAGGUUUGACAGAUGCCCCUUGGUCUCUAAUCCGCACCCGGCUUAACUACCCACAAACAGGAGCCAAAGAGAUCCGGAUUUCAUUUCCCCUGAGCCUGAUGUGAGCCUGAGAAGAGCAGUUCCAGAUCUGAUUGGAUGGUGCCAGAAUGUUCGGGAAAUAAGGAGUUAGAUGUAAACAUGAUUUAGACUCAAUGGCUGUGGGGGUUGAUUGAGAAAAUAACAGGGUGACUUUCCCAAGCAUCCAUCUGUGAAGUUUCAGCUCUCCUCCAGCUCCUGAGGUGAGAAAACCUUAACGCUUUUAUUACUUUAAAUCUGAGGAAUAAUGGAAAACAAACAACUGAUCAUUCGGCUCUGGAAUAUCAGAGUCUUUAGUUUACCAUCUCCAUUUGUAGAAGCAGAGGCUUUGAUUGAUUGCUGUUUACAUUCUGAGGUUCAGUCACAUGUUUAUGUCAUUCUGCUGUUAACCUCCAUCUUUUCCUCACACCUUUACAAACAGUACAGCAGUGAUACCAUGGUCAACAGGAAUUUAACAAAAUCUCUCUUAAAUGCGUUCCCCAUCUCUCUGUCGGUGUGUUUUCACUUCUCGCCCUCACCGUCUCUGUAUAAUGUGCUCAUGGUGGCCCACUGCUGUGGCCAGUUGUGUGUUGUCACAGUAAAUUACUCUGACACACUGGAGGAGUGAUGGCUCUCAGUGGGUGGGAUGAAUGGAGAGGGUGUGUGUGUGUGUGUGCGUUGUGACAAUAUUGGGUUUGAUUCUGGCCUUCUUCACAGGACAUCCAUUUCCAGCAAUCCAUCUGGACUCUGCAGGAGUUUGUUUUGUUUAGAUCGAGCACAAUUAGAUCUUGAUUCUUCCAUCAUAAAUUUAUGUGACGUAUUCUUACAAAGCGAGUUUGAAUUUAAAAAUUAGGCAUCAUUUCAUGAAUUUAUAUAAAUAUAUAAAUAUAUACACUACCAUUCAAAAGUUUGGGAUCAGUAAGAUUUUUAAAUGUUUUUUAAAGAAGUCUUUUAUACUCGUCAAAGCUGCAUUUAUUUGUUCAGUACAGUAAAAACAGUAAAAUUCUGAAAUGUUAUUACAACUUAAUAGACCUGUUUCACUAUGAAUAUAUUUUAAACUGUAAUUGAUUUUGGUUAUCAUUUAUUUAUAGAGUCAU